rnacentral:tRNA from 1 species
GGAAGGAUAGCUCACCUGGUUAGAGCGUGGUGCUGAUAACACCAAGGUCACGGGUUCAAUUCCCAUUCGAUCCC